rnacentral:rRNA from 1 species
UACGUAGGGAGCAAGCGUUGUCCGGAAUCAUUGGGCGUAAAGCGCGCGUAGGUGGCCCCAUAAGUCCGCUGUGAAAGUCAAAGGCUCAACCUUUGAAAGCCGGUGGAUACUGUGGGACUAGAGUACGGAAGAGGCGAGUGGAAUUCCUGGUGUAGCGGUGGAAUGCGCAGAUAUGCGGAGGAACACCGAUGGCGAAGGCAAUCCCCUGGGCCUGCACUGACGCUCAUGCACGAAAGCGUGGGGAGCAAACAGG